GUCGAGAUCACUCCCAACCCCAAUGUGAACGUUACCAAUCUGUUGCCUCGGCGGGAUUCUCUUGCCCCGGGCGCGUCGCAGCCCCGGAUCCCAUGGCGCCCGCCGGAGGACCAACUCCAAACUCUUUUUUUCUCUCCGUCGCGGCUCCCGUCGCGGCUCUGUUUUAUUUUUGCUCUGAGCCUUUCUCGGCGACCCUAGCGGGCGUCUCGAAAAUGAAUCAAAACUUUCAACAACGGAUCUCUUGGUUCUGGCAUCGAUGAAGAACGCAGCGAAAUGCGAUAAGUAAUGUGAAUUGCAGAAUUCAGUGAAUCAUCGAAUCUUUGAACGCACAUUGCGCCCGCCAGUAUUCUGGCGGGCAUGCCUGUCCGAGCGUCAUUUCAACCCUCGAACCCCUCCGGGGGGUCGGCGUUUGGGGAUCGGCCCCUCACCGGGCCGCCCACGAAAUACAGUGGCGGUCUCGCCGCAGCCUCUCCUGCGCAGUAGUUUGCACACUCGCACCGGGAGCGCGGCGCGGCCACAGCCGUAAAACACCCCAAACUUCUGAAAUGUUGACCUCGGAUCAGGUAGGAAUACCCGCUGAACUUAAGCAUAUCAAAAAACCCGAAGAAAA
rnacentral:rRNA from 1 species